rnacentral:rRNA from 1 species
AGAGCGAACGUUUGCGGCGGGCUUAACACAUGCAAGUCGCACGAGAACUCUCCCUUCGGGGAGGGGAAAGUGGCGCACGGGUGCGUAACACGUGGGUAACCAACCCUCUAGAUUGGGACAACCCGGGGAAACUCGGGCUAAUACCGGAUGUGGCUUCAGAGACUUCGGUCUUUGUCGUGAAAGGAGCAAUCCACUAGAGGACGGGCCCGCGGCCCAUCAGCUUGUUGGUGAGGUAAUGGCUCACCAAGGCUAAGACGGGUAGCUGGUCUGAGAGGAUGAUCAGCCACACUGGAACUGAGACACGGUCCAGACUCUACGGGAGGCAGCAGUGGGGAAUAUUGCGCAAUGGGCGAAAGCCUGACGCAGCCACGCCGCGUGAGCGAUGAAGGCCUGGUCGUAAAGACUCUGUGGGGAGGAAGAAACCGUAGACGAGUCCCUUACGCAAGCACCGCCGUAACUCCGCGCCACGCGAGCCGCC